AAGUGCGACCUCGUUCUAAUAGUAAAAAUUUACCAAACAGAUAACCGGGCGAGUUCAGUCUAUUACAUUUAAGGUGUCUAUGGUGGCAGUGAUUGGAAAUAGACUUUUUACUUGAAUUGUGCAUGGUGUGCUGUAAACUUCAAUUUGAAUAAGCUUUUGAUACAAGACUUCUAAUUAGUAACAGCCGAAGACUGUGACUGGAUAUAUAGACUUCCAAUCUAGUAUAAUAAUAUUUAGGAACAGUUAAAGACUACUGUUACUUAAACUGGAUAAAGACUUCCAACAUUGGUAGCAGAGGAUCAUAUCAAAAAAGACCACUCCUAAUGUUGGCUCCUCUCCUUAUUCUCAAAUGUGGCAACUGCUCACUUGAAUUUGUUUAAUUGGACAGUCUGAAGAGAAUUGUUUAAUUGGACAGUCUGAAGGAAAUGAAAAGUACAAAAGGCAGUGUCACAAUUAACAACGGAAGAUCUUCACAAUGAAAAUUGUGCAAUUAUUGGGAAAAUUAGAUACAGCUUUUAAAGAAGAAAAAAAUGACAAAGUUUAUAAACUUCAAAAUAAAGAAGAAAGUCUAUUUCCAACUACUGACCCAUCAGGUUAAACACUCAGCCUACAAACUUAUCGAAAAUCCCCUUUAUAUAACGUAGUUAGAGAUGUCUAUGAGGUCGUCGAGCGUUUCAAUGUAUUUGCGCAAUUUUAAAGCAGCUUGUGGUUUAGCUAUAUUCAGUUUUGAGCAUAUUUGUUGUUUAGAGUGAAUUCGACAUGGCCCUGGAGCAUAUCUGUUGUUUAAUGUUAUUUUAAUAGAACUAAAGUUUUGGCUGUCUGCUUUUACAUUGUUUUGUGAAUAGGGGCUAAACUGAUUAGAAUAAAAAAGAUACGUGAAAUUUUUAAAAACAAUCAAUAUUUUAUAAGCUAAUGUUACACUGCUAAUUUCAAAUAUUUAUAUAUAUAUAUAUACAUAUAGAUUAAUUUUAUAAGCUAAUGUUACACUGCUAAUUUCAAAUAUAUGUACAUAUUAAUUGUUUCACAAUCAAAUUCGAAAUUGUUGUCCUUUUUUGGCACAGCAAGUAUGUUUUCACUAGAUCAUAGUUUUAGAGCUAUGGAAGAUUUAGAAACUGUAGUUAUGAAGCUAGGGAUAAAAGAUUAGUGACUAAUUUUGCAAAUGGAAUGUUUGGAAGAUUUAGAAAAGAUAUUUAUUAUGUAUUUAACCCAUAAACAUGGAACUAGGGAUAAAAGAUUAGGAAUAAUUUGCAAAUGUUAGUUUAACUCAAUGAAUAAAAACCAUAAAAAAAUGAUUUUUUACAGAUUUAUCCCUUUUCACCGUUUUAAAUUUUUGCGAAGGUGAAAGAUAAUUUAUUAUAACCGUUUUUAGAUGAAGAAACAGGCGGUGAAAGGGGAAAAAAGAGGAUAACCCCCCCUACAGAAGGUGUGUUGUGAUAGGCUUUAUCACUUUACUUUGCAGAUGGCUGCCAUUUGAAGAUGUAAGUUCCAAACAUUCAUUAUCCCGAUUCAUUUUUUAUAUGUACAUUUUUUCAGUUUAUAAAGCGCAGGAGAGGGCAGCAGAGGUGGUAUGUAUUUAUUGGUAUUUAUAUAUUGUUCCAGUUUUACUCCUUUUUUCACACAUUUAGGGAAGAGCAGAGGAGGUCAUAGGGGCAGCCGCGGUUGUCGAGGCUGCGGAGGACGUCGCGGCGGCAGAGGUUGUGGCUGUUUAAAGACAAUAAAUUUUAUAUAAAA